rnacentral:rRNA from 1 species
GACGAACGCUGGCGGCGUGCUUAACACAUGCAAGUCGAACGAUGAAGCUGGAGCUUGCUCCGGUGGAUUAGUGGCGAACGGGUGAGUAACACGUGAGCAAUCUGCCCUUCACUCUGGGAUAACUGCGGGAAACUGUAGCUAAUACCGGAUACGAGGCUUGGAGGCAUCUCCAGGUCUGGAAAGAAUUUCGGUGAAGGAUGAGCUCGCGGCCUAUCAGCUUGUUGGUGAGGUAAUGGCUCACCAAGGCGACGACAGGUAGCCGGCCUGAGAGGGUGACCGGCCACACUGGGACUGAGACACGGCCCAGACUCCUACGGGAGGCAGCAGUGGGGAAUAUUGCACAAUGGGCGAAAGCCUGAUGCAGCAACGCCGCGUGAGGGAUGAAGGCCUUCGGGUUGUAAACCUCUUUUAGCAGGGAAGAAGCGAAAGUGACGGUACCUGCAGAAAAAGCACCGGCUAACCACGUGCCAGCCGCCGCAGUAA